CGGCCCUAUUCGAAAAAUGCAAUACGGAAAAGAUAUGAGAUCGUUAAGUUCUGGUUUAGAUAUAGAUAAGUUCUCAAUUAGAUAUCGUUUGUAUGUGGUAUAAUUGACAGAAGCUGCACGAUUCGGAUGACCAAUGUCACUUUGACGUUAGAAUAUCUUUGAAAGAUCUUAGUCAGUGUUGCCAGAUGGGUUUUGCGUUCCGUUACGUGCACCUCUUAAAAAUAGUACGCAAAUUCAAGUUGAGUACGCAGUAUAAAAUUUACGGUGCGUUCCUAAAUAAUAUUAAUCGGAAAACCACCGAAUUUUAUCGCUACUAUAAAAAUGUUGAAAAUAGAACUUCACAUAUUUCGAUAAAAUAUUUCUUGUUUAAGGAGACUCAAUUCAAUGCAAAUUUGCCAACGGUGGCGUUUCGAAAUGUAAUACCGUCGCGGCGUCUGUCAUACUUCGGUCUACUUAAACACGCUGCACGCUGCUGCGACGCGUCAGGGCCUACCGCGAACCACGUUCGACGUGUUGCCUCUCUGUCGCACUUAUAAAUUCGUACGUAAGUAUGACAGGGAGGCAACACGUCGAACGUGGUUCGCGGUAGGCCCUCUGUUCUGUGAUUGUUAGGCAAACACAAACAUUUUUUUUUACAACGGACGCCCACGAGUAUUCCUCUGCGUUGAAGUCAUUGUUGAAGUUUGAAAACUCAUAAAGUUUUGUUUUGUGAGUGAAACCGUGAAUAAUACUAAAUAAAAAUGUGUGACAGUGAUCACAGUGAUGAAAAUAUGUUGCCCACUACUCCUCAGGAAAUAUUAAAGCCUUUUCCGUUUAUGUUGUUCCGUUGUUUGCUAUUUUGACAACUUGAAAAGUUUUAUCGGCAGUUUGCGUGUUAUUACUGUGAAGUGUUUGGCCAAACCGCCGCUACCACUUUUGAAAGGAUGCCACCCAAAAAUCCAAAAAUUCGCUCGAACGCAGCACAAAUUAGAUUGCUCGUUGAAUACAUGUCACAGCACACCCGGUUCGCCAACCGGGAAUUUGACGGGCCUCUAAGGACCCCAGAGGUACGAGGCGCAAUGGGAGGCCCUUGCACAGGCCUUAAGGGAGCACGGGCCCAAUAAGUCAGUGCAGGCAUGGAAAGUGGUUCAUUUUUAUGGGGUGACAUAGACUACAUAAUAAUAUUUAACUGACUUUGGACAAGGAAGAGGUGCUUUACUAAAGCGCUUUAGUUAAGAAAAAAAUCAUAGUCGGGUAAAAGUUUUUACAAUCUUUUGCUUGUUUUCAUUCUUAUAACAAAUAUUUUAAACUUGCAUGUGCUCAUUGCCUCAGAUUGACGACUACGUUGAGUUUUCGGGUGCUGGGAACAGUGUGGCUGGCAGCACGUUUUCUGCCACUGCUGAAAAUCUCGUUGUUGUUUCAACAACCGCCACCGUUACUGCGGCCUUGCUCAGCGAACAACCCCACUUCUCCACCUCUCAUUUGUCCUCGUCUCCCUCUCCUUCUGCCAGCCCUAUACGCUCCACGCAUUCAGUACUGCCCACAAGUCCUGGACUACCCGAACGUCCCUCUCUUGCCGCCCUUUCCGCCCGCUAUGCCCGUCCCGCCCUUCUCGCUCGUUCCGCAAUAACCGCCCAACCCGCACGUCUUGUCCUGCCUGCACGUCAAGUACACAGCUCUGUGUACGUGGAUCCGCGCCCUGCACGCGUAUCCACGUACACAGAGCUGUGUACUUGCCCCGCAACCGCACGACGGAACCGGCACCUUCGACAGCACAAUUUAAUCAUCUGCAGCAUGAGCAUGAUAAUAUUUUAAGAGUAAUUAAUUAAUUUAUGAACUAAUAAUUCUGUUUUAAGAUCAGGUUGAGUACGAGAAACAUUGUUUAUUUAACUUGGGACAAGAAAAACAGUAACUUGGCAGUAAGAAUGCAUACAUAAAGCCUGUAAGCUCCAUACUUGACGUACCAUUCCCUACAAGUGUUUCUCUUGCCUCCAUAUUUCGCUUACCCCAUCUGACCUUAUUUGUAUUGAUAAAACAUACAAAUAAUAAAUAUAUAUAUACGCGAGCAAUCGCAAAAUCUACAUUUCGGGAUUUCUCGUAUCGUACAGUGCCGUUUAAAUAAAAUAACACCACCAACUACCCAUAAGAGGGUUAUUAUGAAACUUAUAAUUAACAUGCAUUUUAUUGAAAGGCUGGAAUUUUAUUUAUCUUGAAAUCUUGACCAUGGUCAUAUGUUUGACUGGACGGCACACGGCAAUGUUAUUAUUACUAAUAUAUUUCAUAACACUAGACUUAUUCAAUCCUAAGUAACCUAUUAGCUUCUCAUUCGUGUGCGGUAUAUAUCAGCGUUUGGUAGUAUCAUAAUAGUCAAAUCUGGUGUUGGUUGUUGUUAAUAGUUAAAUGUUCAUAAAAUUUGACAACUUAUUAUAGUUAUAUUUUGUGUGAGUCAGUUAUCAUAACAGAAAUAAGAUAUAAAGCUGUUAAUACCGUAAAUUGUGUAUGGAUAUGUUUGACUCAAAUUCUGUAUUCCCACAAUAAGUAGGUAUACGGGGAGCCCGUAAGAAAUCAGUGGUAUAUGAAGGCUUUCUUGUGCAACUUUAGUAUGAGCUGGGACAAGUAAAUGUAGUUAUGUAGAACAGAUAAUCUCCAUUGUGGUAGAUGGCGCUAUUUAUUAUGUGCUCUGUGAUACCACUUAGUUUAAACUUGCUAUAACAUAUUUUAUGUUGACAGGAUAUCCUGAACGAACUGAAAAUUUUUAAUGAGGCGCAGAAACAAAAAUGGAGUGUUUUGAAGGAGGGGCACGACUUGUUGGCGAAUCGGUUCAUCCUCUGACCUUUCCAAGGAGCAAGAUCUUAUUUUCGUGUAUGAGAGCCUUUGGAAUACAAUAUUAUUAACGCCCGAAUGAGUGCUACCGCGUUUAAUUUCGCCACUAGGGGUGCUAGUGUAGACGGAGGUCUUUCGAAAUGUCAAAUGCAUAGCUUUUUUAUCGUGAAUUUCUACUCCUCAUUCAUAAUUGUGGUAAAUCUUAUUUCAUCUUUGAUUAGUUAGUCACCAAACAAAAGUAACUCAAAUAGCCGGGUCCACACAGAGCGAGCAUACGCGCCAGGCAACUUCCUCACGC